GUCUAUUUGAAGAUAUAAAAAGUCUAACCUGCCCACUGAUGAAAAAAUUUUAAAUGGCCGCGGUAUUUCUGACCGUGCAAAGGUAGCAUAAUCGUUAGUUUCUUAAUUAGAAUCUUGUAUGAAUGGUUUGACAAGAAAAAAUCUGUCUUUAUAAUUACUUAUUGAAUUUAACUUUUAAGUGAAAAGGCUUAAAUAAAUUAAAAAGACGAUAAGACCCUAUAAAACUUAAUAUUAAUUAAUUAUUUAAUAAAAUUUUUUUAAUAUAAAUAUUUAAUAAUUAAUUUUUAUUUUAUUGGGGCGAUAAUGGUAAAAAGAUUAUUAACUGUUUAAUUAUUUAUAACAUAAAUUAUUGAAUAAAGUUUUAUAAAUGAUCCUUGUUAAAGAUUAAUAGUUUAAGUUACUUUAGGGAUAACAGCGUUAUUUUUUUUGAGAGUUCUUAUCGAAAAAAAAGUUUGCGACCUCGAUGUUGAAUUAAAAUACCUAUAUAAUUGCAGUAGUUAUAUAAGAAGGUCUGUUCGACCUUUAAAUUUUUACAUGAUUUGAGUUCAAACCGGUGUAAA
rnacentral:rRNA from 1 species